rnacentral:rRNA from 1 species
GACGAACGCUGGCGGCGUGCUUAACACAUGCAAGUCGAACGGAAAGGCCCUGCCUUUGUGGGGUGCUCGAGUGGCGAACGGGUGAGUAACACGUGAGUAACCUGCCCUUGCCUUUGGGAUAACUUCAGGAAACUGGGGCUAAUACCGGAUAGGAGCUCUUGCUGCUGGGUGGGGGUUGGAAGGUUUAGGCGGUUGGGGAUGGACUCGCGGCUUAUCAGCUUGUUGGUGGGGUAGUGGAUUACCAAGGCUUGGACGGGUAGCCGGCCUGCGAGGAGGACCUGACCAAUUAGAACGGGAAUGCGGCCCGGACUACACCGGUAGGCAACGGUGGAGUAGGUUACACAAUAGGCUGAAGCAUGGUCCAACAAAGCAGCGUGCGGGAUGUCAGCCUGGGCGUAGGAUUCCACUUUCGCCUUUGACGAAGCGUUAGUGACAGUAAUGGGUAAAGAAGCACCGGCUAACUACGUG